UGGACAUAUACAGCUUUUUGAUGCCCGGUGGUAACCAGCCUUCCAUGUGGCUGAACAGAUGCCAGUGUACCCGAAUUCUGAGACAUAACUGGUUGUUCUUAUCUUCUGCUUUUAAGAUUUCCAGUUCGAGAUGAUGUGCAGUUCGUGUUAAAUUUGCUGUUUCUACAGUUGCAGUGAAGUAGAAGAUUCUGGCCGUGUUAUGGGGCAGCAGUUAAAGAAGAAGGAUGGAGAGAUGUGUGCCAUGUUGAAGUAGAGGCUGCCCCUCCUGCCUGGCACUUCUAGAAUCCUCCAUCUCAAUCCCUGCUCUGAUCUGCUGUGCCUCUGCCAAGUGAUCAUGAGUGGUUCCCCCCCUGCGUCUCCACCGUCUGUUAAAUAAAUUCAAACUGUCUGUGAUAGAAGAAAAGUUCAGAAGACAUCCUGAAACGGAAUUGUGAUUGGAGUGAGACGGCCACAAUUAUGUAUGCAGGGUUGUGCAGAGGGGGUCAGCGUGGGUUUUGGCUUGGGACCCCCAGAGGUUUCUUAUCUCCAGUAUCGAUGAAGGCUGCAAGUUUGUCUUUGUCCCUGGCC